UGGGGAAUAUUGCACAAUGGAGGGAACUCUGAUGCAGCGACGCCGCGUGAACGAAGAAGGCUUCCGAGUCGUAAAGUUCUUUUAUAUGGGAAGAUAAUGACGGUACCAUAAGAAAAAGCCCCGGCUAACUACGUGCCAGCAGCCGCGGUAAUACGUAGGGGGCUAGCGUUGUCCGGAAUCACUGGGCGUAAAGGGUUCGCAGGCGGAAAUGCAAGUCAGGUGUAAAAGGCAGUAGCUUAACUACUGUAAGCAUUUGAAACUGCAUAUCUUGAGAAGAGUAGAGGUAAGUGGAAUUUUUAGUGUAGCGGUGAAAUGCGUAGAUAUUAAAAAGAAUACCGGUGGCGAAGGCGACUUACUGGGCUCAUUCUGACGCUGAGGAACGAAAGCGUGGGUAGCAAACAGG
rnacentral:rRNA from 2 species